rnacentral:rRNA from 1 species
CAUACCGUAAAUGAUGCCCGCUAAGUGUAUAUUUCGCAUUGCGGGAUGUGUACUGUAAGCUAACGCGUUAAGCGGGUCGCCUGAGUAGUAUAGUCGCAAGGCUGAAACUCAAAGGGAUAGGCGGGGGAACACACAAGCAGAGGAUUGUCUCGAUUAAUUGGAUAAUAAGCCAAGAAUCUUACCCCGGUUUGACAUCCUUCAAAUCCCGAUGAAAGUUGGGAGUGCUCGGUUCGCCGAGAAUGAAGUGACAGGUGC